AUACGUAGGGUGCAAGCGUUAAUCGGAAUUACUGGGCGUAAAGCGUGCGCAGGCGGUUUUUUAAGACAGUGGUGAAAUCCCCGGGCUCAACCUGGGAACUGACAUUGUUACUGCAAGGCUGGAGUGCGGCAGAGGGGGAUGGGAUUCCGCGUGUAGCAGUGAAAUGCGUAGAUAUUCGGAGGAACACCGAUGGCGAAGGCAAUCCCCUGGUCCUGCGCUGACGCUCAUGCACGAAAGCGUGGGGAGCAAACAGGAUUAGAUACCCUGGUAGUCCACGCCCUAAACGAUGUCAACUGGUUGUUGGGGAUUUAUUUUCUCAGUAACGAAGCUAACGCGUGAAGUUGACCGCCUGGGGAGUACGGCCGCAAGGUUAAGACUCAAAGGAAUUGACGGGG
rnacentral:rRNA from 1 species